AAUUUACACAUUGCACCUUUAAGUGCUUGUUUUUCCUGUUAAUAAACCUCAGUUCUCAAGGGGACGUUAGAGUUUCCUUCAAAUGUUGGUAAAUUGCAUGUGUUAUUAUUCUGGUAGCUAAUUAUAAUAUGCACUUUAGCGAGCCUGUUUAGUUAUUUAUUGAAAUGCUCUGCAUAUUUAGACUGACGCGGGUGCGUUCUGCUUCGGCACAUGCAAGAAUCAGAGGUGUUUGCCAUCAAACCUGGUGCAACAUGCAGGCAUUUUUGAGCCUGGAUAUGGAUGAAAUUUCAGAGCAGCAACAGAGAAACAAACAGCAGCAUACAGGAUUGGAACAACAUGAUGAUGAUGUUCUGAAUCCUUGUGAAUCUACUGAGCCAACGAGCCAAUCACAUGAAUUUCACUUUUACAGUUUUAAUGUAAUAUGUACGCUAAUAGUCUUCACAAUGGCCAUUCAUCCUUGUAAAGAGUCUCUGUAAUCACACUGACCUCAAGAAAGCAAAACAUUUCAGAUACAAUCAUGCCUAAAGAUGGACGAACUCGAGUGUGAACGUGGUCAGCGAUCAGUCUAUAAACAAAAACUCAAAUAAUGAGAAAACCUCCCCUACAAGUCUGUUUACUUUGUCAGACUAUUUCUAAAGCAGAAGUUUACUUUUCAAUACUUCAGAGUACAAUUCACCGUGGGAAUGUUUUUACAUUCACUCAAGUGUAUUUCCAGUGAGUUGUUUUGGCAUGAACGCAUAGGGUUAUUGCAUAUUGCUCUUAUGGAUGUGAGGUUUCUUGUCCACUCUGUCAUGCAAACGUCUCCAGAUGGGACAAAAAACACAAUAUCUGCAUGCAGAAUUCUGGGGGAACAUGCAAAGAAGAAUUACAUUCAAAAACAAUAACAUUGUGUGUGUUAAGUCAGUCUCAUAUGGGCCUAUACAAUGAGUAAUGGGAAUGUUGUGAUACAACCUUGUCUGCUCAGCCAUGAUACAGUUUUAGGUUUGUUUGCAUUGUUUAUUUGUUUUUAUCACAUCAUCAUCAUCAUCAUACAUUUAUUGCAGACUCAAGGUCCAAAUUUAGGCCUAAAACAAACAAACAGAUAAAAACAAAAAUAUUAAUCAAAUUGCAGAACAAAAUGUUGAUUUUUUUUAUACCUCAGUAUUAUUUUGUAACUCGUAAAUCCUUUAUAUUUUAACAACCUCUAUUAUCUCUCACACUGUUUUCCAAAACAUAUUAUGUUAUUUUUAUUAACAUUAUUGGCACCUUAUUUGGUCACUACCUUUUAUUGUGUGUGUAUUGAUGCUUUGGUAAUAUUGUUUGUAAUACAAUCAUAUCAAUAAAGCACUGUGAA